rnacentral:rRNA from 1 species
GACGUAGGGCGCGAGCGUUGUCCGGAUUUAUUGGGCGUAAAGAGCUCGUAGGCGGCUUGUUGCGUCGGCUGUGAAAUCCCGUGGCUUAACUGCGGGCUUGCAGCUGAUACGGGCGGGCUGGAGUUCGGUAGGGGAGACUGGAAUUCCAGGUGUAGCGGUGAAAUGCGUAGAUAUCGGGAGGAACACCAGUGGCGAAGGCGGCUUCCUGGCCUGGUUCUUGACGCUGAGGC